rnacentral:rRNA from 1 species
UACGGAGGGUGCGAGCGUUAAUCGGAAUUACUGGGCGUAAAGCGUGCGUAGGCGGUUUGAUUAGUCGGGUGUGAAAGCCCCGGGCUUAACCUGGGAAUUGCAUUCGAUACUGUCAGGCUCGAGUCUAGGAGAGGGAAGCGGAAUUCCGGGUGUAGCGGUGAAAUGCGUAGAUAUCCGGAGGAACAUCAGUGGCGAAGGCGGCUUCCUGGCCUAAGACUGACGCUGAGGUACGAAAGCGUGGGGAGCGAUCCGG